rnacentral:lncRNA from 1 species
GCUCCCUGCCCUCUACAGAGCUGAGAUCAGAGCCACCUGCUUGCUGUUUUUCCUCAAGGUGGAAUAGUGAGGGCAGAACUGGGCCAGGUGUGCCUGUUUACAGCACGCCCUCUGAACGAGCAGCCUGCUUGGCAGAACAGGAGGCUCACUGAAGUUCUUCUUGACAUCUGCAAGCAUCAUGUUAAUGAGGCCUGAACUAUAGAAAGAGGAAUGAGUGCAGAAGGUCUAAUUAGGAGCUGCUGCACAGCAGCUGUUACACUGAUACAACGGAUACACACAGAGAUGACACACAGGAUUGCAUUUCUUUUCAGCAGUCGUAUUCUGCUACAGAUCUGGGGGAAGAGAUGCUGCAUUCACACCUCUGUUGCCUGUCAAAGCUAGCUUAAUUUUCUGAUUUCAGAGCUUACAUUCUUAACGCAAACUUCAUU